rnacentral:rRNA from 1 species
UGGGGAAUUUUGCACAAUGGAGGAAACUCUGCUGCAGCGACGCCGCGUGAGUGAUGAAGAUCUUCGGAUUGUAAAACUCUGUCCUUAGUGAAGAUAAUGACAGUAACUAAGAAGCAAGCCCUGGCUAAAUGCGUGCCAGCAGCCGCGGUAAUACGUAUGGGGCAAGCGUUGUCCGGAAUUAUUGGGCGUAAAGGGUACGUAGGCGGUUUAAUAAGUCCUAAUUAAAAGGCUAUGGCUCAACCAUAGUAUGGUUAGGAAACUGUUGAACUUGAGUAGAUGAGGGGAAAGUGGAAUUCCAUGUGUAGCGGUGAAAUGCGUAGAUAUAUGGAGGAACACCAAUGGCGAAGGCAACUUUCUGGAAUCAAACUGACGCUGAGGUACGAAGGCGUGGGGAGCAAACAGG